AGUGACACGGGGGACAAUCUACGUCAUAGGUUGCAAAGACGUUUUCGACCGUCCGGAGGGACAAUUUCGAUGGUCGCGGAGAUUGAUUCGACGGUUGCAAAGGCAAAUUCGACAGUUACACAGAAAAAUUCGACGGUUACACAGACAAAUUCGACGGUUACACAGAAAAAUUCGACGGUUACACAGAAAAAUUCGACGGUUACACGAAAAAAUUCGACGGUUACACAGACAAAUUCGGUUUGCGGAGACAAAUUCGACGGUCGGGGAGAAAACUCCGGUACUGAAGGGCCGUCCAGUGAGCGUUUUGCGAGAAAUGCCUCGUCGGCUCAGAUUAACUCUCUAUCCCCGCAAGGGUGGUAGAGGCAAAGUGAAAACAAAGCUAAAGGCCAAAGUUCAAGGUGCCCCUGCAUCUGAUGGGGCUGAAUGGCAUACAGAUGAAGAAGAUGCCAUGUUUCAAGAUCUAGGCAAGGAGUCCUCUUUGCCAGGGAGAAAAGAGAUGCAGAUCUGUGUCAUCUGCUCCGAGAAGGAUAUUAAAAUGGGGUAAGAACCGUCCUUAUGAAGAGGGUAGUAGGAAAACAUACAGCAAACCUCAAAGUACUUUGUAGAUGAAUGGCAAACAGAUGAAGAAGAAUACACCACCUUUGAGGAAAACAGUGCAAGUCCAUUUCAGGCAUUUGCUGCAAAAGGAACACAUGGAGUUUGACAGCAUCAUCGUAUUGAUGACAGCAAGAUGCUACCAUCAACAAGAGCUGGAAUCGAAAUUUAGGACCUGAUAUCCAUACUACUGUUUAUUUUUUCUUUUCCUAUGGUGUUUUACUCUGAGUGUUAUCACUUAGCAAUGUGCAGUAUAACUGGAAUGUUUGAAUAGUUUCAUUUGCUGUGGAACUUCAGAGCUUAUAUCUCAAAUCUUUGUAGAAUGGAAUGAAUAUCUGAAAUUUUAUGUGAUGUAAGUAACUUAGAAAUGUAUCAUCAUUCUAAUAACGAAAUCAAAAGGACAUAUUUCUUAAGCCCCUUCGUUAUCGUAAAUGAUUUGCAUUUUAUUUGGUUACAAGGCUAUGUUAUUAGGAAGGAUUCUGUGUUUAGAUACCAAUUACAUGUACACUCAUUACCAACUAAGGAAUAGACCAGUCUUACUACCUUUCCUUGUGCUGAUCAUCUGACAUUCCCUCAGGAAUUUAAUAGAACAAUACAAAACAAUGUUAUUGAUCACAAAAUUUAUUCUGUUUCGUUACAAAUUCUGUGUUUUCCUGAGUAGGUUUUGUUAAACUCAAUUGUUUUCCUGAGUAGGGUUGAUUGCAAAAUACAAAUCCACUGCAUUUGAAGAUUUAGUGGUAUACUCUACAAUGUCAUGUGCAGUGACAACUUUAGGUCUGUUUCCUUAUAAUUGUCACAUUGUAAAUACAAAUGGUAAACCUUAUAUAUGUAAAAACAUUAAAAACUGUUGCUUUGGAGAACAAGAAAUACCAGCUCAAACACAAGUUACAUGUCCAACAACCCUAAUAUAUACUUUGAAAACAGCAACAAAUGACAGUGCCCCCUCUUUUACAGCAUUGUAAUGGUAAGGCAGUAUUUCUCAUAGCAUCGAUUAGUAUGUGAUAUGAAUGUGAGGAUAAUUUAAACUGCAGAAAUCAUAGUGUACUGACAUUGAAAGCCUUUUUCUGUUUUCCUGAGUAGGUUUGGUUAAACUCCACCAGUACUGUUAUUCGGAGUACGGUUGAUUACAAAUCCACUGCAUUUGAAGAUUUAGUGGUAUCCUGUACAUGUACAGUGGACAUCUAUAGGGUCUGUUUCCCUAUUUGUCGCAAUGUAAAUACAAAUGGUAAACCUUACAACAGAAGUUACAUGUCUAACAACCCUAUAUACUAAAGCAACAAGAAAUGCCCACUAUUUUGCAUAAUUGUAAUGCAGUCACAUGUAUUUAUAUCAUAGCAUGAUGCCAAUGGUAAUAUGUGAUAUGAAUGUUUGGAUAAUUUAAACUGCAGAAUGAUACUGUACUAACAGUGAAAGCCUUUUUCCAUUUUUCUUUUAGUGGGCAUGAAGUUAUAUGUUUGAUAAUGUUCCAGAAUAAAGUCAGUGUUCAACUGUAUGAA